ensembl:lncRNA
AUUCACCAAGGAUGAACUGAAAGCAGGAUCUGUCUCACCAUACACUGAGAACUGUAGAAUAUGCAAGGCACAUGGAACUUAUUUUCUUACGUAUAAAAGCGUGUAUAUGCUCCUUAUACAUCUGUCCUAAUGCUUUCCAACAGUCCUCACUCUAAGCCUCACCAAGACCCAGAUGAGGAAACAAAGGCACAGAGGGAUAAACUCAGAGCAGGAAGACAGCAAGGAAUAGCAGUGAAAAGCAUGGUGCUUAAUCCAACCCCUUACUCACUGCUGAGACCUGGAAAUGUGUUCAUCAGCUACAAAACAGGAGAGAUGAUAACUCAUUAUGUAUAUGUGAUGAUAAACAGAGACAAUAUAUUGAAGAGCUUAUAUGAGUGGCAGACACGGGACAUGCUUCCCUGUGGCUGGCCAGCGUGUCAUCUUCUCCAUGUGUCCAGAGAAAAGCUUUGCAAAUCAACCUCUCGAUGAAUGAUGACGGCACCAGUGAAAUCAGGGGAGGCAGAAAAUCAUGUUAGUUUGGUUUAUAAUGCAAGAAGUUACAGAACACAGAGUGCUCAAAACUAAGAAUGUGCUAGUUGUAUAACAGGGUCCUUCUUGGGACUCAGCCAGGAUUCAAACUAUAAAGGAAAAUCGGGUGAGCAGGUGGGAUAGUCAAGUGAUUCUAUUUGCAUGAAUAAUUUUGUGAGAUGAUACCUUCUUGUCCAGGAACAUUGAGCAGUGCUCGUGCUGGGUGGAUUGUGAUGUGGAAACCCUGGGAGAUGUCACGUCUGACAUCAACUUUCUCCCAGGUGACAGCUGCACCCUCUAAAGGCUUCUCAAAUGACAGAGCUCAAUGAAUAUAGAAGGGAAAAGUAUGAGGAUGACCUAUGAGCACAGGGUGGACAGUCUCUGCGGUGGGCAGGCAUUAGCAAAGGAGAGACCUUCUGUAUUAUGCAGAAAUUGGACCUUUGAGGACCAGCUGGGACUUGGGAAUAUAGAAAGAGGUCCUUCAACUCAACAACAAAAAGACAAACAACCCAAUCAAAGAAUUGUCAAAGGACUUGAAUAGUCAACACUCCAAAGAAGAUAUAUAAAUGGCCAAGUGGAAUUUUCCAGAGGCUACAUGAUGAGUGACGUCACGACAGAUUGAGUACAGAGCCAACUAUGAGAAUCCAGCUGCCUUCUAUUAAGGUACCCUUUCUGUGGAUACCUUCAAGUUCCAGCACCAAAUAUGAAGGCGACUGCCAUCACCAGCUCCCACCCCUACAUGAGGUCAAAUCCCUGGAUGGCAUAUAACACACUAGAGCAAUUAAGAGGAUCUAACUAAAGGUGGGGAAGGAAAAAUGUGUGUACAGAGACAGGAAGUCAUGGACACAGUUAUAUUGAAAGAUACAAUGAC